rnacentral:rRNA from 1 species
ACGUUAGUAAUAAGAAAGUGGGCGCCGCAAGGGCUCAUGCUGAAAGAAGGGCCUGCGGCCUAUUAGCUAGUUGGUGGGGUAAUGGCCUACCAAGGCAACGAUAGGUAUCCGGUCUGAGAGGAUGAUCGGACACACUGGAACUGAGACACGGUCCAGACUCCUACGGGAGGCAGCAGUAGGGAAUAUUGCGCAAUGGGGGAAACCCUGACGCAGCAACNCCGCGUGAGUGAGGAAGGUCUUCGGAUUGUAAAACUCUUUUUUUAGGGAAAAAUGAUUACAGAGCUAAUACCCUGUAAAGUGAUGGUACCUAAAGAAUAAGCACCGGCUAACUUCGUGCCAGCAGCCGCGGUAAUACGAAGGGUGCAAGCGUUGUUCGGAAUCAUUGGGCGUAAAGCGCGCGCAGGCGGAUCAGCAAGUCAGAUGUGAAAUCUCGAAGCUCAACUUCGAAACUGCGUCUGAAACUGCUAGUCUAGAAUGUCGGAGGGGGCAGGGGAAUUUCACGUGUAGGGGUAAAAUCCGUAGAGAUGUGAAGGAACACCGGAGGCGAAGGCGCCUGCCUGGACGACUAUUGACGCUGAGGCGCGAAAGCGUGGGGAGCAAACAGGAUUAGAUA